CAGCCGCCGCGGUAAUACGAAGGGGGCUAGCGUUGUUCGGAUUUACUGGGCGUAAAGGGCGCGUAGGCGGACUGAUAAGUCAGGGGUGAAAUCCCAAGGCUCAACCUUGGAACUGCCUUUGAUACUGUUUGUCUUGAGUUCGAGAGAGGUAAGUGGAACUGCGAGUGUAGCGGUGAAAUGCGUAGAGAUGUGGAGGAACACCAGUGGCGAAGGCGACUCUCUGGUCUGUAACUGACGCUGAGGAGCGAAAGCGUGGGGAGCGAACAGGAUUAGAUACCCCAGUAGUCCCUGUCUCUUAUAU
rnacentral:rRNA from 1 species